CCUGACGAAGCUCCCGGAUGUAAAUGGUCACAUGAUCACGGUCCAUGCUGAGGCGUCGGUAGACAUCUUUACGGACCGGCAGUGAAAGAACGGGACAAAGCUUUAAGAUGCCAUUCUCUAACCAAACAACAACAAAGCUGUAUGUUGGAAAUUUACCAGAGACCUGCAAAAGAAUAGAACUGCAAAAAUUAUUUGAACCAUUUGGACAGGUUGUGGAAUGUGACAUUGUUAGAAACUAUGGAUUUGUUCACUUUGCGGAUGCAGAUGAGGCAAAAACAGCAGCAGAAAAUUUAGAUGGCACACCAUUUGAAGGGUCAACCUUGAAAGUUGAGGUGUCCCACAGUAAAGUGCGACAAAAGCCUGGAAUGGGAGGCAAGGGGGAAUGCUACAAAUGUGGAAAGGAAGGCCACUGGUCCAAAGACUGUCCUAAAGGACCAACACGUCCAAAGGGCCCUCGAGCACCACACGACCAUUACAGAGACCCUUAUGCAAGGGAUGCAUAUGAUCCCUACUACAGGGACCGAUACCCUCCUCCUCACCCUCAUGACAGAUACAGGCCCUACGCAGACCCCUACGACAGAAGGCCACCACCACCCAGGGACCCAUACUACAGAGAAUCCAGAGACCCUUAUGCAAGGCCCCCACCAGAGUACUACGGCAGGCGGUCACCACCACCAUCCAGCCGAGAUCCCUACUAUGAUUACUACGACCGACGAAGAGAGAAUGGUUGAGGGGCCAACAUGACUGGAAGGCAUGGCAUGCAUAUUGAAGGGACAGGAAACUACCCUAAGUGGUCAACUUUAACCUUCUGUUUUGGCUGGCGUAGACUGGAAUCCCACUUCAGUUUGGCCGCCAUAGGCUGGAAUUGCACCACAAUAUGGCUUACAGUAGACUGGACAUCUUCUCCAGUUUGGCCGCCGUAGCCUGGAAUUGCACCACAAUAUGGCUUGCAGUAGACUUGAAAUCUUCUCCAGUUUCACUGACAUAGGCAUUCCAAUUUUGGUACCAACACUGGACUGUGCUUGGUUUUCGACAUAGUAGUCUGGAAUGCUACACCUUCAAAGUGAAUAAUAUAUUGACACCAUCAACUGGAACUUCCUCCAUCGUGACUGUCCUUGAGGAAAAUGUUUACCGUACUGUAGAACCAUCAAGAGGACAAAUAUCUGAAGAACUGCAUAAGGCUAUAUUAAAUAGUGUAUACACUUUUCAAAAUAAAAUUGUUUGUCUUUCA